ACCUGGCUGGCUCAGUUGGUAGAGCAUGAGACUCUUGAUCUUGGGGUUGUGAGUUUGAGCCCCAUAAUAGGUG
rnacentral:tRNA from 1 species